GAUGAACGCUGGCGGCGUGCCUAAUACAUGCAAGUCGAGCGAACAGACGAGGAGUUUGCUCCUCUGACGUUAGCGGCGGACGGGUGAGUAACACGUGGCUAACCUACCGAUAAGACUGGGAUAACUUCGGGAAACCGGAGCUAAUACCGGAUAAUAUAUUGAACCGCAUGGUUCUAUAGUGAAAGCCGUAUUUGCUGUCACUAAUAGAUGGAUCCGGGCCGGAUUAGCUAGUUGGUACGGUAACGGCUUACCAAGGCAACGAUGCGUAGCUGACCUGAGAGGAUGAUCAGCCACACUGGAACUGAGACACGGUCCAGACUCCUACGGGAGGCAGCAGUAGGGAAUCUUCCGCAAUGGGCGAAAGCCUGACGGAGCAACGCCGCGUGAGUGAUGAAGGUCUUCGGAUCGUAAAACUCUGUUAUUAGGGAAGAACAAAAGUGUAAGUAACUAUGCACGUCUUGACGGUACCUAAACAGAAAGCCACGGCUAACUACGUG
rnacentral:rRNA from 1 species